UGGAAUCUCCUUUCUUUUAACUUGAAGCCAUGGGUUCGAGUCCUACCCUCCAGAGCAGGAGAAAACAAGGUUGCUCCAUCUUCCAUGUGGCGACCCUUUAAAUCUUGAAAGAUGGCUCUCAUAUCUCCUCUUUUGGAUUCAGAGCCAUCUCUCAAGAUCUAAAGGGUCGCCACAUGGAAGAUGGAGCAACCUUGUUUUCUCCUGCUCUGGAGGGUAGGACUCGAACCCAUGGCUACAAGUUAAAAGAAAGGAGAUUCCA